rnacentral:pre_miRNA from 1 species
GGGGGGAGGCCGGAUCUUGGGCUGUGUCCAAGGCACUCUGUGCUCCCGGACCUGCGCUGUUGGAUUCACAUUUCAGGCCACACAUCCCCCU